UUAAUGGCCAGAUGAUCAGGGUCACACUUUGGGAGCCCCCACUUCAUGUGCUAUGCUGAUUUAACACUUGCAGUGCCAAAAUGAUUCUCCAUUCCUUGAGUGCUCUUUAGAGUGAACCUGUCAUUUGUAUUUAAUUUGUGAAAGCUUAAAAAAUACAUAUAUACCAAAACAAAUACUUGUGUGAGCAAGAUUGAAAUGUUCUAUAAAUUGCAUAACCUGAUUUACUAUCAGUAAUUAAUUCAUAAGACAUGAUCUAUGAAUAAUUCCUGGCUGCAUUAUAACAUUAGCAAACGCACAGCUGGGUGUGCUUGUUAUUAGGUAAGAAUAAUGCUUACUGCUCACUGUAGUGGUUAUGGUGCCAGGAGUCAGUAAACUGUUUUAGAACAAUUUAACACUUACCUUUCUUUGAAAGGCCUGCACACUUCUUUCGGUCUGAGCUGGUAUGGUGAGACAGAAGUUCAUACCUCUGCAUUAUCAUACCAAAUUUGGACUGUAGGGCAAGCACUGUAAACGCUUCAUCUUAUUGGAGAGGUUUUGGGGUAAAGAGUCCCACGGCGAUGUCCUUCCAUUCAGUGUAAAACUUUUUAAAUCUUUCAAUGUUAAAUACAAAAUCUCCUGCAGCCCAUCCUCUCUGUGCUGCGUGGGUUAAUGAGGAAGCAUUGGCGUGAGCAGCAAAGGGCAGCUGUGAUUGGCUGAGGGUGUCAGCUGACUAUAUUCAUCCUAUCACAGCACCCAAUGUCAGUAUGAGUUGGUACAUCUUCGAGGAAGUGUGUAAUCUCUGCCUUAUAUAUAUAAAAUAACUGGAUACUAACUUAGAGUGGUAGUGGGAGUUAAAAGCAUAAACAAGUCCACUAUGGGUACCACUCACCACCUUCCAGUAACCCAGGGAUAUAAAGGGCAUAAAAGUAAGUAGUAAAGAGCAGCAAAAGCGUUUCAGCGUUUCAUCCACAGUCUGCAAUUUAUAUCGUCUUUCACAUAGGGAACACGUGUUUCCAAUAUCUGGUAAUCAGGCUCAGCCGCAACAUAAUCGCUGACUCUCCCAGAUGACAUGGACUCGUGGUACGCAACGCACUCUAAAUUAGUAUCCG